GGCCGCCUGGCGUAAUGGCAACGCGUCUGACUACGACGGGGUAAUCAGGAGAUUGCAGGUUCGACCCCUGCGGUGGUCA